rnacentral:lncRNA from 10 species
GUCUUCAGGCUCAGAGAAGAGAAGGCAUUGUUUGCCCAUGAAUGUUUGCAAGUAAAUAGCAGAGCUGGGACUCAAAGAGUCCGGAUCUGGGGCUCCAUCAUGAAUCUCUAAGAGUGGCCCAGAGAUUCUCACGUUCCCUAGCUUGGGGCCUCCAUGAGGCUAACAAUGGGGUCACAUGUCUCUGUCCCUGGGAAAGUGGCCAGCAUGGGGCUGGCCCAGAGAAGGACAAGGUGGCUGUUUGGUGAGUGUGACCCAUGGGCUGAGUAAGGCAGACCCGCAACUGGGAAAAGGCAUAGACUGGAUGUGCUAAGAAACAAGGAGCUGUGGAGAGACUUUGAGGAGGGAAGUAGCAAAACCCAAAAGUCAUUCACCCACGUGCCUCAGCUGCAGAACCUGUCCUCAAGGUGCUCACAGGCUGAGGGAAGGCAGACAGAGGACAAGUGGCAACCUACAAAACACCAAAUGGGCUCCAUACUCAACCAAGGUGCCCCUCAGCCAGAACUGGACACAUUGCCAGAGAACUCCAGGGGUCAUCUGGUCGGCUCAGCCUCCCGGUUUCCGACAGACAGUCACCAUAGACUCACCUGAACUGUGAGAAGUAGAGGAAGGCGUCCCAGAGGAGGUGGUACUGUUACUAUCCCUAGUGCACCGAAGUCACCCAGCGGCCGAGUGAGAACUCCAGUCCAGCUUUCCACCCGCUACUCCGCGCAUCCCAGCUUGCCUUACAGCCGGGUACCGGCUCCACCAUUUUGCUAGAGA